AUCGAUUCUCAGCCUUUUGGCUAAGAAAAAGUAUAGUAUCUGUUCUUAUCAGUUUAAAUUCUUAAUCUAUCCACUUUCCCACCUCUC
ensembl:snRNA U2 U2 spliceosomal RNA